GACGAACGCUGGCGGCGUGCCUAAUACAUGCAAGUCGAGCGAAGUUUUUCUGGUGCUUGCACUAGGAAAACUUAGCGGCGAACGGGUGAGUAACACGUAAAGAACCUGCCUCAUAGACUGGGACAACUAUUGGAAACGAUAGCUAAUACCGGAUAACAGUAUUUCUCGCAUGAGAGAUAUUUAAAAGUUGGUUAUGCUAACACUAUGAGAUGGCUUUGCGGUGCAUUAGCUAGUUGGUGGGGUAAAGGCCCACCAAGGCGACGAUGCAUAGCCGACCUGAGAGGGUGAUCGGCCACACUGGGACUGAGACACGGCCCAGACUCCUACGGGAGGCAGCAGUAGGGAAUCUUCCGCAAAGGGCGAAAGCCUGACGGAGCAACGCCGCGUGAGUGAAGAAGGAUUUCGGUUCGUAAAGCUCUGUUGUUAGGGAAGAAUGGAUAUGUAGUAACUAUACAUGUAAGAGACGGUACCUAACCAGAAAGCCACGGCUAACUACGUG
rnacentral:rRNA from 1 species